rnacentral:rRNA from 1 species
CAGCAGCCGCGGUAAUACGUAUGGACCGAGCGUUGUCCGGAAUCAUUGGGCGUAAAGGGUACGUAGGCGGCCUAAUAAGUUAGAAGUGGAAGAAUAUAGCUCAACUAUAUAAAGCUUUUAAAACUGUUAGGCUUGAGAGAUGAAAGGGAAAGUGGAAUUCCUAGUGUAGCGGUGAAAUGCGCAGAUAUUAGGAAGAAUACCGGUGGCGAAGGCGACUUUCUGGUCAUCAUCUGACGCUGAGGUACGAAAGCGUGGGUAGCAAACAGGAUUAGAUACCCUGGUAGUCCACGCUGUAAACGAUGAGUGUUAGGUUCUUGGAAUAAUCUGGGAGCCGCAGCUAACGCAUUAAACACUCCGCCUGGGGAGUACGGCCGCAAGGCUAAAACUCAAAGGAAUUGACGGGGACCCGCACAAGCAGCGGAGCAUGUGGUUUAAUUCGACGCAACGCGAAGAACCUUACCAAGUCUUGACAUAAUACGGAGGGAAUUAGAGAUAAUUCCUUACCACUUCGGUGGGCUGUAUUACAGGUGGUGCAUGGUUGUCGUCAGCUCGUGUCGUGAGAUGUUGGGUUAAGUCCCAUAACGAGCGCAACCCCUAUCGUUAGUUACCAUCAUUAAGUUGGGGACUCUAGCGAUACUGCCGGUGAUAAACCGGAGGAAGGUGGGGACGACGUCAAAUCAUCAUGCCCUUUAUGACUUGGGCUACACACGUGCUACAAUGGCAGAUACAGAGGGCAGCGAAAGAGUGAUCUGAAGCGAAACUCACAAAAUCUGUCCCAGUUCGGAUUGUACUCUGCAACUCGAGUACAUGAAGUUGGAGUUGCUAGUAAUCGCGAAUCAGAAUGUCGCGGUGAAUGCGUUCCCGGGUCUUGUACACACCGCCCGUCACACCAUGGGAGUUGGCAAUACCCGAAGCCUGUGAGCGAACCAUUAGGACGCAGCAGUCGAAGGUAGGGUCAGUAACUGGGGUGAAGUCGUAACAAGGUAGCCGU